CCUAAGGUAGCGAAAUUCCUUGUCGGGUAAGUUCCGACCUGCACGAAUGGCGUAAUGAUGGCCAGGCUGUCUCCACCCGAGACUCAGUGAAAUUGAACUCGCUGUGAAGAUGCAGUGUACCCGCGGCAAGACGGAAAGACCCCGUGAACCUUUACUAUAGCUUGACACUGAACAUUGAGCCUUGAUGUGUAGGAUAGGUGGGAGGCUUUGAAGUGUGGACGCCAGUCUGCAUGGAGCCGACCUUGAAAUACCACCCUUUAAUGUUUGAUGUUCUAACGUUGGCCCGUAAUCCGGGUUGCGGACAGUGUCUGGUGGGUAGUUUGACUGGGGCGGUCUCCUCCUAAAGAGUAACGGAGGAGCACGAAGGUUGGCUAAUCCUGGUCGGACAUCAGGAGGUUAGUGCAAUGGCAUAAGCCAGCUUGACUGCGAGCGUGACGGCGCGAGCAGGUGCGAAAGCAGGUCAUAGUGAUCCGGUGGUUCUGAAUGGAAGGGCCAUCGCUCAACGGAUAAAAGGUACUCCGGGGAUAACAGGCUGAUACCGCCCAAGAGUUCAUAUCGACGGCGGGGUUUGGCACCUCGAUGUCGGCUCAUCACAUCCUGGGGCUGAAGUAGGUCCCAAGGGUAUGGCUGUUCGCCAUUUAAAGUGGUACGCGAGCUGGGUUUAGAACGUCGUGAGACAGUUCGGUCCCUAUCUGCCGUGGGCGCUGGAGAACUGAGGGGGGCUGCUCCUAGUACGAGAGGACCGGAGUGGACGCAUCACUGGUGUUCGGGUUGUCAUGCCAAUGGCACUGCCCGGUAGCUAAAUGCGGAAGAGAUAAGUGCUGAAAGCAUCUAAGCACGAAACUUGCCCCGAGAUGAGUUCUCCCUGACUCCUUGAGAGUCCUGAAGGAACGUUGAAGACGACGACGUUGAUAGGCCGGGUGUGUAAGCGCAGCGAUGCGUUGAGCUAACCGGUACUAAUGAACCGUGAGGCUUAACCUU
rnacentral:rRNA from 1 species